GGUCAGUGAUGAGUUGGCAUAUGUUAUCUGAUUCUAAAGUUGAUGUUCAUUGUCACUUUAGCUCUAGAAUUACUCUGAGACCUA
rfam:Alligator mississippiensis ScZkoYb_67, whole genome shotgun sequence.